GCCCACACAAUAAUUAUAACCUUGGUUCCCAAACUGUGGUGCCUUGGAACACAAGUACUCAAAAAAACAAGUACACAUGUAUGAAUAUUACAACCUUCAUUUUUAAAGGCGGUACUUUGUUGAGAAGUUUGAGAGCGGCUGCAUUACAUCAUCACUUUCUUCUCAUUUAAUGACAAGCUUGACAUUUGUUCUCUAUGUGGGUGAGACAUACUGAUCCAUUACCUGCGCCCUGGGACGUGCUGGGUUCCGGCAGCAGGGGCAGCAGAAACAGCAGGAGGACGUAAACCAGCGAGAAGCCGUUAAAACGCAGCAAAGCAGCUGUGAAGACAUGUUGAAUAAUUAUGACCAACAGGAAGUGGCUGUCAUUAGAAAACACCAAGGAAGAGUGUGUCGCCUUGUUUUGCUUCCUCUAGCUCCUACCCCCACUUUCUCAGUACCAAAACAACCAACCUGCGGUCAAGCUGAGGGGCAGCAGGACCCUAAAGAGAAGACCCACUACCAAUGGACCGCAGGACAUCCUGGAUCCAGUUCUUGCAACAGGCCCGUCCUGCUUGUUUUGGUUCUGGUUCUGAUUCAGUACCCCCAAGAAGAGGAGGACUGUCAGAGGUCUUGGUAGCCGCCGGCCGAACAAGGGGUCCGCCUGAAGGCGACCACACACCCCGGUGUCAUCCUCCACAGACACACGCAAUGAGUCACACCGACCCAAUGUCUGACCCGCUUUUAAAGGGGGGAAAAAAGAAAAUCGCACAUCAGCUAGCCCCGCCCCUUAGUGGUUGACUGACAACCACUAAGCCAAUCAACGACUCAACGGAGACUGCCAACCCUUCCAUAAAACAGCCCAGAAUAUCAACGAUCGAAUUACAGCGAGCUGAAGUGGCACCUGUGUUGAUGGACAGCCGAGAGCAGCGAGGAGACAUGUUCCUGACAGUCUUUCAGUGACGACUGAAUCUCAGAUUCCACUUUCUGCCAGCAGUCCUGAAAGGAAAAUUUUGCCGGAGUGGAUUUGUUGACAGCACACAAAUAUUUCAUCACCUGGUUUGUUCUACUGACAGUGUAAUGUUCUUCUAGUUUGGUUUUGAAGACGCUGAAGGCAGUUUGGAUGCUGGAAGUCAAAUGGAACUGUGUGUCCACCUCCAGAACAUUGACGGUCUCCUGCUGUUUUGUCAAGGAUGGCUCUGCCUUGUCUCUAAGAGGCUCUUCCUCCUCUUUAAAGGGCUCCACACCUUCCUGAAGUGGCCACUCUGGGGAAAAAAAAGAGUCUACGGGUCCCGGGGGUAGAUUUUUCACCACUUUUUUCCUGAGACACAGCGAAGACUGUCCGGCCCGCAACCUCCAGCGCUUCGAGGAGCUCUGGGCGGAAAAGCAGCUUCACCCUCCAACCUUUGGUGUUUAGGUAAGCGAUUGGAACACUCAGCUGGACACUGAGGACCGCCUGAGCCCCAGUGCAUUCUGGUGAAAAAAAUAGGAUGGGUAUUUUGUGAUUGGACAUUCUAAAGCAGGGGUGUCCAAACUUUUUCCAUUUAAGGCAGCACACAAACAAAAUUAAAGCACGCGGGGGCCAUUGAUAUUUUUAAUUUUCAAAACCAAAAAAAAAAUACAGUAUCCAGUGCAUCCGGAUAGUGUUCACAGCACCUCGCUUUUUCCGCAAUUUGUUAUGUUACAGCCUUAUUCCAGAACCGAAUAAAUACAUUUUUGUCCUCAAAAUUGUAGACAUUAUAACCCAUAAUGACAAUGUAAAAAAGCUUUUCUCUUAAGAGAUAUUUGCUAAUGUAAUAAAAAUGUAAAACAAGAAAUCCCGUACAUAAGUAUUCACAGCCUUUACCACAAAACUCGAAAGUCAGCUCAGGUGUAACCUUUUUCAACUUAUCAUCCUUGAGACAUUCCAACACCUUAAUUUGAGUACACCCUUGGUGAACUCAGUUGGUUGGACGUAAUUUGUAAAGGCACACACCUGUCAUAAAUAAAAGGUCCCACAUUUGACAGUGCAUGACAGAGCACACACCAAGAAUGAAGUCAAAGGAACUGUCUGUAGACCUCUUGAGGCCCAAAUCUGGGUAAGUGUCCAGAAAAAAAAAUCUGCUGCCUUGAAGGUGCCAAUGAACACAUCGGCCUCCAUCAUCCAUAAAUGGAAGAAGUGUGGAACCACCAGGACUCUUACUUGAGCUGGCAGGCGGUCCAAACUGAGCAAUCGGGGAGAAGGGCCCGAGUCAGGGAGGUGACCAAGAACCUGAUGGUCACUCUGUCAGAGAUAUAGCAUUCCUCUCUGUAGAGAAGAGAGCCUUCCAAAAAGGACAACCAUUGCUGCAGCUAUCCAAUCAGGCCUGUAUGGUAGAGUGGCCAGAAGGAAGCCAUUUCUUAGUUGAAAAAACAAAACAAAAAACAGCAGCCCAUCUUAAAAGCUCUUGGACCAUGAGAAAAAAAUUCUGAUAUGUUGAGACAAAGGCUCAAUUCGAAUACCCUUCCUCUGCCCUGGUUUUUGCCACCUCUCUUUGGUUUUUGCGCAUUGAUGUUAAUAGGUGUUCGAAUUAUGUGCCGGGGGGAGGGUGAAAUAACUCCCUCGACCUGAUGUGAGCUUGCAGACAGCCCUUCACUACAGAGUGCGAGGAGAAAGAUGGAAGACCGCCGGAAAUUCAGAGAAGCGUACAAAUGUGGAUGGACUCCCACAGGAAGCCCUGAAAAAGAAGACACUCGGAGAAAGACUAACACGUAGAGGAAACACAACCGACACUACCUGAGGCAUGUCUAUGAAAAAGCUGACACGCUGUGACCCAAAGUUAAAGUCCACCCAGAACUCAUCCAGUUUGUCGUCUUUGGGGCGAAACAGCUGAAGACGCGAGAGUCAACAUGAGAGACAAAACACAUUUUCUAAUCACAAUUUUGGUUUGUACCUCUGUGGAGUCCAAGAAGGCUCUCAGACAUGGGAAGGUGUGAACCCUAGAAGACAGACAACCUGAGUGAAGAGGCCAUGCACACCUUCAUGAUGUACUCAUUUUGCGAUCCAUCACUUUCUCUGGUCGCCAUGGCGAUGGUUAAGAAAGUUCAGGAAACACCUACAGUCCUGAAAGAGAGAGAGGGGGGUUACGCAAGUCAAAAAAACUAGACAAGUUGGACACUCACCGCCUCAAAGUUGGCAUCUCGGAUGUCACAGAAGGCUUUGCUGAUGUCACAGCAGGAGAACCAGUGAUUGGCUCUCUGGCUUCGAUCCUCUCUGGGAGUCAUACGACACAAGGCCUCCGAGAGACUCACCUGCAGGUCAUAGUCUGGAACACCCCCCACCACCACUAGUCAAAAGAUUCCAAUAUGUGACAGGAGUGUUCUGUUUUCAGGACAUACUGCAAAAAAUCUUUGUCAAAGAUCCUCUAUAAGAAGGGAAUCAAACUUGUUUUCAUUGAGGGCCACAUCACAGUUGUGGCUGAUCUCAGAGGGCCGCUUGUAACAGUGAAUAAUAAAUUCCCGCAUUACACAUUUAUUAAAUGUAUUUUUAUGUACACUAUAAAAACAUCUAGAUUUCAGAGUAAAAAAUUGCCAGUUACCAAAAUGUUACUGUGAAAUGUACAAUAUUUACCGUAAAUGAAACUGUAAAAUAUAUGGUUGUUUUUAUUUGUGCAUUACAUGUGUCAAAGAUAAUGUUCUGUUUUUUGGGACCUACUGUAAAAAUACAAGUCAAAGAUCCCUUACAUAAAACAGGAGUGGGCUGCUGUUUUUGAGGACCUACAGUAAAGACACUAGUCAAAGAUUCUCCCAUGACAGGAGUGAGCUGCUGUUUUUGGGGACCUACAGUAAAGACACCAAUCAAGGAUCCUUUCAGACAGGAGUGGGCUGCCGUUUUUGGGGACCUACAGUAAAGACAUUGACCAAAGAUUCUCCCAUGACAGGAGUGAGCUGCUGUUUUUGGGGACCUACAGUAAAGACACCAAUCAAGGAUCCUUUCAGACAGGAGUGGGCUGCCGUUUUUGGGGACCUACAGUUAAGACACUAACCAAAGAUCCUCCCAUGACAGGAGUGGGCUGCUGUUUUGGGGGACCAACCUUACGGACACUAACCAAAGAUCCUCCCAUGACAGGAGUGGGCUGCUGUUUUGGGGGACCAACCUUACGGACACUAACCAAAGAUCCUCCCAUGACAGGAGUGGGCUGCUGUUUUGGGGGACCAACCUUACGGACACUAGUCAAAGAUCCUCCCAUGACAGGAGUGGGCUGCUGUUUUUGGGGAUGUGCAGUAAAGACACUAGUCAAAGAUCCUCCCAUGACAGGAGUGGGCUGCUGUUUUUGGGGACCUGCAGUAAAGACACUAAUCAAAGAUCCUCCAAUGACAAGAGUGGGCUACUGUUUUGGGGGACCAACAGUACGGACACUAGUCAAAGAUCCUCCCAUGACAGGAGUGGGCUGCUGUUUUUGGGGACCUACAGUUAAGACACAAACCAAAGAUCCUCCCAUGACAGGAGUGGGCUGCUGUUUUGGGGGACCAACAGUACGGACACUAGUCAAAGAUAUUCCCAAGACAGGAGUGGGCUGCUGUUUUGGGGGACCAACAGUAUGGACACUAGUCAAAGAUCCUCCCAUGACAGGAGUGGGCUGCUCUUUUUGAGGACCUACAGGUAAGACACUAACCAAAGAUCCUCCCUUGACAGGAGUGGGCUGCUGUUUUGGGGGACCAACAGUACGGACACUAGUCAAAGAUCUUCCCAAGACAGGAGUGGGCUGCUGUUUUUGGGGAUGUGCAGUAAAGACACUAAUUAAAGAUCCUCCAAUGACAAGAGUGGGCUGCGGUUUUUGGGAACCUACAGUAAAGACACUAACCAAAGGUCCUCCCAUGACAGGAGUGGGCUGCUGUUUUGGGGGACCAACAGUACGGACACUAGUCAAAGAUCUUCCCAAGACAGGAGUGGGCUGCUGUUUUUGGGGAUGUGCAGUAAAGACACUAGUCAAAGAUCUUCCCAAGACAGGAGUGGGCUGCUGUUUUUGGGGAUGUGCAGUAAAGACACUAGUCAAAGAUCCUCCCAUGACAGGAGUGGGCUGCUGUUUUUGGGGACCUGCAGUAAAGACACUAAUCAAAGAUCCUCCAAUGACAAGAGUGGGCUGCUGUUUGUGAGAACCUACAAUAAAGACACUAGUCAAAGAUCCUCCCACAACAGGAGUGGGCUGCUGUUUGUGGGGACCUACAGUAAAGACACUAAUGAAAUAUCCUCGGUUCCACUGUAAAGUUUCUAGUCAAAGAUCCUCAAUAUGACAGGAGUGGUUUGCCUGAUUUGGAAGCGACUUGACUCACCUCCUGCUGUCUGAAUGAUGGCCGCCACCUGCGAUCUGCAGACAUUUAGCGCAUGUUAGCGUGUUCUCGUCGUGACGCCAUCUCAAACACUCUGUCUUACAUCUUCUGGAUUAAUGUCUGUUCCUUUCGGACGUUGCUCUUCUGAUCUAUGCUCACAGAGUCCAGGAUGAUGUUGAAGGUUCUGAUGGCCUGAUGACGACACCAGGACAUCCCAUAAUAAUCCGCAUUACUAACAUAACUAGACUGUACCUCCAAUCUUAAAGAGUAGGGGGCUUCCUGCUCCAGAACCAUUUGAAGGAGCUCCAAAAGCAGCACGGCCAGCUGGGGGACUGACAGACAGACAAGUGAGGUCAGAGGUCAGGUGACUCGACAUCACGCGGCCCACCCACCUGGAAGAGACGACUGACCCAGCAGCUGAAAGAAGACCAGAAGGGCAGAGAAAAGUUGUCAUGGAAUCGCAAACUCCACAACGAAGCUCGUCAUCGUGCCGCGUACAAGCAGGAAGUCGAAGAAGCUUAAGGUAAGCGUGACC